GUUAGGCCGUCAUUGUAAUUAAGAAUUUGUUCUUAGCUGAUUUGCCUAGUUAAAUAAAGGUUAAAAAUACAAAUGUACGUUAUGUCUUUUUCCCCCAUUGCAAGAAUACUAGAGGGUGCAUGGUCCUGAGAGUGCUUCUCCCACCACCAAUAUACCGAAUGCAGGUACUAAAAAAACAUGAUCCUGAGAGGGUUUUUCACACCACCAGUGUAAUGACUUGGAAAGAAGACUGCCCACCCAAGCAUUGAUGAGGCCUGAAAGUCAUAAUGUAGCGCUGGAAUCAAUAUGGCUGAAUAUCUCUACCAGGUGACCAAAAAAACAAGAGACCCCAAACCUUAGUUCAGACUCUCUGGAAUAUUGUAUCUACUCCCUGGCAUUCACCAUCAUGAAUGGACAGGCUCUGGAGCAGAAGACAUUAUGUUACGUUGUUGUUUUACACAAAUUCCUAUUGGAAAUGGAUACCUGGUAGGGGUUGUGGGUGUAGAGGGUAAAGUGUUUCCUUUCCUUCAGCCCAUUUCCUCAGCUUUAAUUUGUAGGGCUGCUGUGAUUUUCAAAUGAUGGAUUGUGUUUGUAAAGUUUCUGUUUAUUUGUGUGUUGCUUAUUUGUUUCUUUUGCAUUACUUCAUUUUGUAGCUGAAAUUAAUAUAUGAAAAUAAACUUUUGGUAUUUUAUCUA